GAUGAACGCUGGCGGCGUGCCUAAUACAUGCAAGUCGAGCGAACAGACGAGGAGCUUGCUCCUCUGACGUUAGCGGCGGACGGGUGAGUAACACGUGGAUAACCUACCUAUAAGACUGGGAUAACUUCGGGAAACCGGAGCUAAUACCGGAUAAUAUAUUGAACCGCAUGGUUCAAUAGUGAAAGACGGUUUUGCUGUCACUUAUAGAUGGAUCCGCGCCGCAUUAGCUAGUUGGUAAGGUAACGGCUUACCAAGGCAACGAUGCGUAGCCGACCUGAGAGGGUGAUCGGCCACACUGGAACUGAGACACGGUCCAGACUCCUACGGGAGGCAGCAGUAGGGAAUCUUCCGCCAUGGGCGAAAGCCUGACGGAGCAACGCCGCGUGAGUGAUGAAGGUCUUCGGAUCGUAAAACUCUGUUAUUAGGGAAGAACAAAUGUGUAAGUAACUAUGCACGUCGUGACGGUACCUAAUCAGAAAGCCACGGCUAACUACG
rnacentral:rRNA from 1 species